UCCAGAGGUCUCAAGCGUUGUUCGGAUUCAUUGGGCGUAAAGGGCGCGCAGGCGGCCGCAUUUGUCAGGCGUGAAAGCCCCGGGCUUAACCUGGGAACUGCGUUUGAUACGGUGUGGCUAGAGUUCGGGAGAGGAGAGUGGAAUUCCCAGUGUAGAGGUGAAAUGCGUAGAUAUCGGAAGGAACACCAGUGGCGAAAGCGGCUCCCUGGUCCAGCACCGACGUUCAGGCACGAAAGCGUGGGGAGCAAACAGG
rnacentral:rRNA from 1 species